rnacentral:tRNA from 1 species
ACAACCCUAGUACAACAAGUACAGGUAACUUCCAAUUAUCAAAUCUUAGUAAUUCUAAGGGGUAGUA